UCAAAUGACAUAAGAUUGAUCAGUAAAAAAUAAGAUGGCGUUUUUCGCAUUUGGUUAAAAAGUCAAUAGUUGAGUUUUUCUUGUUGCUUGGUUGAUUCGAGUAUAUUGUUGGCUAUUCGCAAAGUUUUAACUCCUUUUGUGAAGUUUUGAAUUGAUCAUGGUUACGACUACGAGCACUCUGUGAGCGCCGAAACCAGAUUCCUGAGAUCCACAGUUAUUGCUACAAAUAGAAGAAGGGUUUAGAAAUUUUCCAUUCCAACCUAUUUUAACAUACCUAUUGCCUAGUUUAUAUCAGCUGAUGCUAUAUUUGUUGAACAUUGAAUGUGCUAUUUUUAUUUUAUACUAGCGAUAGUACUUGUGAUAUUCUACGAUCUUCACCAUGGUCUUGAAAGCCUUCAAUAUUGUCUUCCUUUAAAUUCUUUUCUUGAAAUUUCUUAAGUCUGGCUUGCAAGUAAUGCUUUUUUUUGUAAGUUUAUUGGUACUGAACUUCUGCGAAUAUUGUUUACAAGCUUUUGAUUGCUUUUUGAAAAAUUUGAGACAAACAUUUUGUGAAUAUUUUUGUAAAUAUUUUUCCAUUUUAAAUUGCUAGUUCCAGAAGGUCAACAAAGAUAACGUUACAGAUAAGUUUACGUUGCGUUUUUAAUUCACAGAAUAAGCGCACCAAACACAAAUAUAGUAGAUUGUUAUACAAGGGGCUAAAAAGACCCAUUAUAUACGAGGUAUUUUUAGGGCCCGAGACGUAAGGCGAGGGCCGCCUAAAUAGAAACCGAGUUUAUAAUGGGUUUAGCCCCACCCCCACCAAUAUAUUACUCCACUGUAUUGCGGGUGCUAUUUGCAAUAUUGGAGUCUGCAGUUGUAGGGCAUAUUCCAAAUAUCCUCUAAAGCAAAAUUUUUAAUAUUGUGCAUAUUAUAAAUAUAUUUAGACAAUACACACGUCACUAUUUAGCAUUUAGUGUACAGUUUUUUUUUCGUAGGUAACCCUUUCAUGUGAUUUUUGCUGAAUACGUGGAUUUUCAAAAGGUAACCCGAUAGGAAUCGGGUUGUUAGGGAGGGACCAUCGCCCCUGCUAUUUAGCCACUAUUCCUCCCGUAGUGUAGCUCUCCUAGCAUAGUUGUGGAGCGAACCAUGUAGAGCGGUCUGCGGUCUGCGGUUGACUUGUUAGGUCAGCACAUUGGUGAGCUGCCACAUGCUCGACAUUUCCUUGCAGCACAAGAAGAAGAAGAAAUACUUAAUUGCACACAAAAAUAAAUAAAGAACAUUAUGAAUUUAUAAUUUACACAAAUGGCUCUAUGGACAUGGUGUCUCGUGCGAUACGUCCAAAGAAAGUGAGCGUACGACAUUGGAUGAUGGAAGAAAGACGUUCCCCAGUUCUUGGAGAUGUUGGUUCGAAACUGUGUCCAGGAUAUGCCAAGCUCCUCCUCCAAGUACUGUCCUCGGCACUAGCGCGCACGCGAGGAAAGCUGUGCGAUAUUAUGCACUAAUUUAAUGUUACGCUGGUUUUGAUAUAUGUGAUGAGUGGACUGUAUUUAUUUGUAAUUUCUUAUGUAUGUAUGUUUGCUCAUUUCUGCCAAAACCAAACAAGUAACUUGUGAUCCACACCAACCUUGCAUCACUCGCCCCCAAUGGCAGCACGGCAACACCAAGGAGAGCCUGCGACUUGGAGUAGUUCUAUUUUCAGGAGGUAGGCACACAAACACACAGAUUGUUCUUGCAAGAAAAACGUUUUAUUAUAUUUAACGCGCGCACACGGUGUGAAUUUGUUUCUUAGGCACGGCCGAAUGAAAGAAACACGCGUACAGGUACGACAUGCACACAGCACGGCUGGAUGAUGCAAUAUGUGGCAAGGUAGUCCCAGAUGGCGUCUUCCAGAGAUGACGCUGCUUAGUUGUCAAACCGACAUCUGACAUUGAUUGACGAUUGACACAAUUCUGAUGUGGUUUUUCUCAAACUACCUGCUUGGUAAUGGCAAGAUCGAACAAAAGCAGCCGGCAGCGUAUAUGCCCGGUUCUCUCUGUAUCAUCGCGUAAACUUGAAACGAACGAACGAACGAAAACGAACCGUAAAACAACGCGUGAAAGG
rnacentral:misc_RNA from 1 species